rnacentral:rRNA from 1 species
UGAGGAAUAUUGGGCAAUGGGCGCAAGCCUGACCCAGCAACGCCGCGUGAAGGAAGAAGGCUUUCGGGUUGUAAACUUCUUUUAUUCGGGACGAUAAUGACGGUACCGAAUGAAUAAGCCACGGCUAACUACGUGCCAGCAGCCGCGGUAAUACGUAGGUGGCAAGCGUUAUCCGGAUUUACUGGGUGUAAAGGGCGUGUAGGCGGGACUGCAAGUCAGAUGUGAAAACUAUGGGCUCAACCCAUAGCCUGCAUUUGAAACUGUAGUUCUUGAGUACUGGAGAGGCAGGCGGAAUUCCGUGUGUAGCGGUGAAAUGCGUAGAUAUACGGAGGAACACCAGUGGCGAAGGCGGCCUGCUGGACAGCAACUGACGCUGAGGCGCGAAAGCGUGGGGAGCAAACAGGAUUAGAUACC